rnacentral:lncRNA from 1 species
UUAUAUUUUUAUUAUAAUAAUUUUAAGGGGAAACUUCAAAUACCCUCCUGUGGUUUCACACUUUCUCACUUUAAUACCCUGUGGUUUAAAGUGUAUCAAGUUACUACCUUGUGGUUUCGCAAUUUCUCACUUUAGUAUCCUGUGGUUUCACGUGUUUCAAGUUAGUACCGUGUGAUUUUAUUUUUAUAUCAAGUUAGUACCCUGUGGUUUCAAUUUUCUCUUUUUAUUAUCCAUUUCGGGGCAUAUAAUUUAACAAAAUAUUAAACCACAGGGUACUAAAGUGAGAAAGUGCGAAACCACAGGGUAUUAACUUGAUACACUUUAAACCAUAUGAUACUAAAGUGAGAAAGUACGAAACUACCGGAGGGGUAUUUGAAGUUU